UACGAAGGGGGGCGAGCGUUGUUCGGAAUUACUGGGCGUAAAGGGCGCGCAGGCGGCUCUGAAAGUCAGAUGUGAAAGCCCCGGGCUUAACCUGGGAACUGCAUUUGAUACUCUGGAGCUUGAGUACGGGAGAGGAUAGUGGAAUUCCCAGUGUAGAGGUGAAAUUCGUAGAUAUUGGGAAGAACACCGGUGGCGAAGGCGGCUAUCUGGACCUAACUG
rnacentral:rRNA from 1 species